CUAUCGUGAUGAAUCCUUAUAAUCAGUUCUGCUUCCGAAGGAGGGAAACCUCUUGUGGACAUCCUGAUACCAAAAACUCUCAUUCUGACAC
rnacentral:snoRNA from 1 species